rnacentral:rRNA from 1 species
CACGUAGGGUGCGAGCGUUGCCCGGAUUUAUUGGGCGUAAAGGGCGCGUAGGCGGUCACGCACGUCCGUUGUGAAAUCGCUCGGCUCAACUGGGCGGGGUCAGCGGAUACGGCGUGGCUGGAGCAAGCUAGGGGGCAAUGGAAUUCCCGGUGUAGUGGUGGAAUGCGUAGAUAUCGGGAGGAACACCAGUGGCGAAGGCGGUUGCCUGGAGCUUUGCUGACGCUGAUGCGCGAAAGCGUGGGAGCGAGUCGG